rnacentral:rRNA from 1 species
UACGAAGGGGGCUAGCGUUGUUCGGAAUCACUGGGCGUAAAGCGCACGUAGGCGGAUUGUUAAGUCGGGGGGUGAAAUCCUGGAGCUCAACUCCAGAACUGCCUUCGAUACUGGAAAGCUCGAGUCCGGGAGAGGUGAGUGGAACUGCGAGUGUAGAGGUGAAAUUCGUAGAUAUUCGCAAGAACACCAGUGGCGAAGGCGGCUCACUGGCUCGAUACUGACGCUGAGGUGCGAAAGCGUGGGGAGCAAACAGG